rnacentral:tRNA from 1 species
UCCCUGGUGGCUCAGAUGGUCAAGCAUCUGCCUACAGUGCGGGAGACCCAGGUUCAAUCCCUGGGUUGGGAA